rnacentral:tRNA from 1 species
GGGGUCGUAGCUCACCUGGGAGAGCGCAUCGCUGGCAGCGAUGAGGUAGAGAGUUCGAGUCUCUUCGGCUCCACCA